UACACUUACUCACCCACCUGGUGAAAGUUUUAACUAACUUCAAAGAAAGGGAGCGACAGUGGUGGACUAAUGGGGAGUUUAGGGCCAUAGCCUAUCUACUCCUUUAAAAUUUGUUCAGAUCAUCCUAUAAUGCUGCCUCUUUUAUUUGCCAGGAUUUCCUCUAAUAGGAAUAACUUCAAAUGUCAAACUCCUUCCCACGAGUGUUAACCUCAAAUUACAGCGUUAAUUGUUAGUUCCACCAACUUAUGUAAAACUUUGUAUAUAUAAGUGAAUAAUUUAAACUAAUAACAAAGCAAUUUCAGAAUAAUGGUGUUGGAGCCAGUGCGUUUUUAGUACA